UUGAAUUGGCACCCGAAAAAACUCAUAUGAUGAAAUAAAGAAAUCGAAAAACCAACGUUUAAGGGAGAUUGCUCCAACAACUACACUUCUUUCAUAGCAUCAGGGAAAAGUGAAUAAUGCUUCCAACAGAUAUUCUUUUUGACGAGAAACAUUUGACCUGUGGAAUCGUGAGAGAGAGGGUUGAUCAAGGUUGAAGAAGAAGUAAUGUCUGAUAUGGUCAAAGAAGCAUGGAGAGAAUAUCUUCUGCAACUCCAACUUCACCCACUAAGGACCAAGGUGUUUCUUUUAUUCUUGAUCAAUCUCUUCUAUGGCAAUGAGCUUAAGCAUCAAGAGGGCAGGGAUUGUCACAUCAAUUGUGAUCAAAUCUCAGCAGCAAGUAUCCUUUAUAUCAUACAUGUUUUCUGUUGUUCUUUUACCUUACUAAUUUUUAUAUUGCCUGAUUUUUUUGGACUAUGUGGCCUUAUAUCCAAUUUAUUUAUUGUGCUCUGUUUUCCAAUUGCUCCUUGGGUGUGCUACAUUUAAACAACGUGCCCUAACAUAUCAAUGCUACAAUGUAAACUUAUGACCAACUCUUUCGCUAAAAAAAAAAAACUAUCACACUUUUAAUUCCCAAACACAUCUUAAAUGAAGGUUGGGAAAUGAUUUUGUUGUGAGGUUAUAUUGCAUAAUGAUUAAUCAAUCUAUGUAUGAUAUGUGAUCAUGUGUACUGUUCAUAUAGGUUUUUUUUUGGGAAUUUGUUCAGAUGAAACAAUAUAGCGAAGUAUUGGGGAUUGUCCAAUGUUUGUUUCUGUGGCAUGGUUGUCAUGUUGCUUUUUCUCAAACUUUUAUCCCCUCAUGUGUGUUAUCUUCAUAUUAGUAUCUUAUAUAUGGGAGUUCAUAUUAGUAUCUUGAGUUUUGAAGAAUGAUAACGAUUUAAAUAAUGUGUGUUCGAUUUUUUUGAUGAUGAAGAAUACUGCAUUUAUUGCAUAGGAAUGUCACUCUUUUGAAUCUGUUAUGAUGAUAAUAAUAUGCCCUACACCAGUUACAAGCGAAAAUAUACAAGUCCCGCAACGCGGGAAGAUGCUAGUUACUAAUUACUUAUCAUUACUUUAUUCUAUUCUUCAGUUUUUUGGGGCCUUGUCCGGGCAAGUCCCUUUUUUAUCCAUACUCUUGCAACUGUUGUAGUUUCAUAAAGCAUGACCAUGACCUGAUGACCUCACAAAAAACAAGAGUUAUUGGGCUUUUUUUGUCCCUAGUGUCCCUACUCUCCCUAGAGCAAUGGUAGUACAAGACUACAAGCUACAGUACAAGUGCACUUGCGUGUGUCAGUGUACUGGUGCUAAUAUCAACCAUUAGAUUAUCGAUAUUGGGUUGCCUGUACAUGAUGGUUGCACCUAAAUGACCUAAAUGAUGGUUGUUUGUGUUGUUCAAGAGUGUUUUUCCCACGGGUGAUUGGGGUUUCUCACCUGUUGUGUACUUAGGGUUCGCACAUUUGAACUAACCAUUUCACCGAGUACCUCAUCUUCUUAAUAUCAGAGUUAAUACCAAUCGAGCAUCACCAACUCUUGCUUUGGAAAUUCUGUUCCACUGCUGUUUUUCAUCCAGUUGUGCUCCAAGUUCGGGCAGUGCAGGUGAGCUUUCUUUAAGGCUUUGUCAUGGCUUUUAUUGCUGGGGUUAAAAUAAUGGGUGAGAUUUCUUUCACUAAUGGGAUCAGCAAUUCGAGUUAAGCAAAUGCCAAGAGCCAUAGUACUAAGUACACUAAAUGGUUACAUGAAGGGUUGGUGGUAUGAGGAAGGGAUUGAAGAGAACUUGAAAUGCUCUUUUGCUCUCAAUACGUAUACAUAUAUAAUUCGAUCAGGCAUGCUUCUAUAUUAUAUGAUCUUUAAUUCGUCUCUGUAUACUCAAUUCUUCCCUCUGAUUGUUUAUGCCUUCAAUCGUAAGAUUAUUCCGUCUGUAAAUGAUACUGUGUUUUACUAAUGUUUCUCAAAUGAUUGCACUUGCUGAUUUUUAUAGCAAACCUCUACAGUUAAACCAAACCAUGAAAUGACCUUUUUAAAAUCCUUACUCACCCGUCAUCUCCUACUCACCCCAACCAAGAGUAACAUAAAUCUUUAAGCAUGUGUGAUGAUUGAUUUUAUUUCAAAUUGAUGACUAACUAAUGCAGCAUCUGCGAAUUGGUUGGUAUUCUAUGGAUGAUUGUGUCGUCU